rnacentral:ncRNA from 1 species
UAACGGCACUGGGGGUGCCCGCGUCGCGGACGACGGUGUCGUCCGCGCGCCGGCUGAGAACAUACCCUUUAUCACCGGAUUCUGGUAAUUCAGACGACGGGAACGUGCUCCUCCGUCGCG